UACGUAGGUGGCAAGCGUUGUCCGGAUUUAUUGGGUUUAAAGGGUGCGUAGGCGGCUUGAUAAGUCAGUGGUGAAAGCCGAUCGCUUAACGAUCGAACUGCCAUUGAUACUGUCGGGCUUGAGUAUAGAUGAGAUAGGCGGAAUUGACAGUGUAGCGGUGAAAUGCAUAGAUAUUGUCAAGAACACCAAUUGCGAAGGCAGCUUACUAAGUUAUAACUGACGCUGAGGCACGAAAGUGCGGGGAGCGAACAGG
rnacentral:rRNA from 1 species